rnacentral:rRNA from 1 species
AGCAGCCGCGGUAAUUCCAGCUCCAAUAGCGUAUAUUAAAGUUGUUGCAGUUAAAAAGCUCGUAGUUGAAUUUCGGGAUCAUCAGGUUGGUCGUGCCUCUGGUAUGUACUUUCCUUGAUGGUUCCUCCUUCUUGAAGAUCCGUAAUGUCAUUAAUUUGGUGUUGCGGGGAAUCAGGACUGUUACUUUGAAAAAAUUAGAGUGUUUAAAGCAGGCAAUCGCUUGAAUACAUUAGCAUGGAAUAAUGAAAUAGGACGUUCGAUCCUAUUUUGUUGGUUUCUAGGAUUGACGUAAUGAUUAAUAGGGAUAGUUGGG